rnacentral:rRNA from 1 species
CGGAGGGUGCAAACGUUGCUCGGAAUCAUUGGGCGUAAAGCGCGCGUAGGCGGCUGGACAAGUUGGAUGUGAUAGCCCUGGGCUCAACCUAGGAUGUGCAUUCAAAACUGUUCGGCUUGAAUCUCGGAGGGGGUCAGAGAAUUCCCGGUGUAGAGGUGAAAUUCGUAGAUAUCGGGAGGAACACCAGUGGCGAAGGCGCUGACCUGGACGAUGAUUGACGCUGAGGCGCGAAAGCGUGGGGAGCAAACAGGAUUAGAUACCCUGGUAGUCCACGCCGUAAACGAUGAGUGCUAGACGCUGGCGGAUUGACCCCGUCGGUGUCGAAGCUAACGCGUUAAGCACUCCGCCUGGGGAGUACGGUCGCAAGACUA